CCUAAGAGAGUUAGCUCGAUUGAACUUGGGAUUGAGUCAAAAUUAACUUGGGGUUGACUUAUAGUCUGAAGGAGUUGGCUUAAAAACAAGCUGAAAAAUAUAGCUCCCUAUCUUACCUUGAGAGAAUCAACUCGUAGAAACUUGAGGUCGACUGAUAGUUGUGUGCCACUAGAAAUUUUGCGUAUCAAAAUUAUCUCUUUAAAAUUGGGGGCCGACUUUUGACUUCGUCCUUCACUUUUCUCACAAUGUAGCUUCCCAAACUUGCUAUUCUUGGUCUCAAAUUUUUACAAUUUAUUUUUGUAUUUUUGAAUCAAUUUAGCCUCCUAAAAACUUUCUCAAUAUACACUUAACAAACUAUUAGUUUCAUAGUAUAUUCAAAUAAUUUAUAUUUAUCAAAAUCAUUUCUUAGAUCAAUAAACUUCAAGUAUAUAUAUACAAUUGUCUUUUUUGAACAUAGAACCUAAUCUUCUUAUACUGAGUCUUCUAAUAGCUCAAGCUUUGGGAAAGCUUCAAAAUCAACUGAUAUACUAAAAACCUUAUAAAUGCUAAGGCACAAUAAUCAUCUCUAUCAAGCAUACCUUUUUAUUGCUUGAUCUCUGAAGCUUUUCAAUCUUAGCCAAUUCUUUAUCAUCAUGACCGACUAAAUCUCCACAAAAAAUAUUCAUAUCUUAGAUAGCUUCCACAUAUGACUCUUCCCUCAAUAUGGAUCUCUAUAAUCGGAUUAACUAUUACAUCCUUUGAUUGUUUUUGAGCAACCAGUCCUUCAAAUAUGAUAUCUUCUGAACUUAAUAUGGUAUUCAUUUGAUCAAGCUCCCCUUGCUCCAAAUUUUUUUGUGAACCUCAUUGAUUCUCAAACCGAUCAACCUUCUCAUGUUUUGAGUCUUCAGAAGUUGAUCUAGUCUCUAACUGAUCAAACUCUCCAAAUUUCAAAUCUCCAUCUUUAAAUGAAUUUUAUUCUUCUUCAAGAUCUUUAGAGAAGUUUGAAAAUGGAAUCUACUCUUUAAGUGAUUUUUAUUUUUAUGAUGUCUUAUCUUACUAAAACUUGAGUAAAUGGUCACAAGAAUAUCCCAUGCAUUUUUCGACUCCUUUACAUCUUGAAUAUGAAAAUAAUUUUUUUUAUCAACUGAAAUUUGAAUAAUCCAUUUUUUUUUUUCUAGAUUUUAGAUUCUUCUUUCUUCAUGCAAUCUCAUCAUGGAGAAUAUCUAUUGACAUCAUUUCCUACUCAUCUAAUAUACCUUAUAAAUUCUAUCCUUUCAAAUAAGACCUGACAAGAUCUUUUUAUAUUGGAUAAUAGGUAUUGUACUUAACUUACAUAGAGAAAGAAAAUUCAUAAAGGCAACCAUAUUGAUGUUGAUACCAUUAAGCAUCUCAAACCCAUUGAGAUAAUAGGUAGGAGCAUCUGUCUCAAAUCCAUUGAGAUAGAUGUUGAUGAUUCACUUCUUAAAUCAUUAAAACAAGAGUUUACAUGCAUGUACCACUAUACAAUGAAUUACUACAAGCUCUUUAAUCAUAUUGAGCUAUGGAUAUAGGAAUUAUUAAUAAUUAAGUCACCACUUCAAAAAUUACCCUUCAAUAAAUCUGAUUGAAGCCGCAAAUCACUUGAUGACUCUCCAAGUUUAUGGCUCUAAUACUAUGCAGAGCCAUAAAUAGAUGAGCCACCAAUCUCAAAAUCUAUAGUUCUAAUACCACAUAGAAUUUCAUAUUACUUGGAGUAGAUCGAUCAUGCCACCUCAAGAUGUAGAAUAAAACCAAACAUAAAAAUAUUUGUACAAAAUUAUGCGAAGAAAAAAAUUAUAGAAGAAAAAAAUUUGAGAGAGGAAAAAUAAAGGCCAAAAUAAUGAAUUUGGUUCCCCUCAUAAAGAUGCCUCAUAAAAGAGGCUCUACAUACAAAAAAUAAUCUCUUCUUUCUUUUUCUUCCCAUACCCUUUUUCACACCUCAAAGGAGAUGCUAAAAGUCUCUUUAAAUAAAACAUCACCUAGAUGGAUGUUUGACUUCUACUUGAACUCAUCAAAAAACCAAAAUCCACUAAAACAAACUCUAAAAAAGCUUGUAGAAGGAAUAAUUAAGUAGAAUAGUAUAAAGAAUAGAAUCCUAAAAUUAUUAAAGCUAAUGACUAAUUAAAAAUAGAAUUCCAAUUGAAUUAGGACUUGGCAAUGAAUAUCAAGAAAUCCAUACCACCUUGGAUGGAUUUUUGUUUACUAGAAUUCUAUGUCCUAUUUCAGUUGAGUGUGGCCAUCUAUAAUUCUUCAGAAUAACUUUAUUUCCUUCAAAUAAAUGGAAUUUUCACUUUAUCAUAAUAACAAAACCAUGAAGAAGACACCACAUUCAUGAAAUAGUGUCAUUUGUAUAAACAUAAUAAAUUAAAAAUGAUUAAAAUGAGUUUACAAUGAUAAAUUUAUCUUGAUAGUUCGAGCAUGUUGUAGCCUUACUCUCUACUCUCGAUUUAUUUCUAAUUAAAUAAAGAAAAUCCUAAUAUUAAAUUAUAUAAUUCAAUUCAUUGAGAAGAUUGUAACUAUACUUAGAAUAAUAGUAAAGUGUCAUAAUGGGGUUCUAUAAAGCUAUUGUUAGAGAAUAAAAUGCGCAUUAAUAAGAUGGAUCUUAAAUCUUCCUACCAAGCUUUGAUCCUUUGAGAGAUAACUAGCUUAAAUAAUUACAUUAGCCAACAAUCAACACCAUUUCAAAAAAGUAUUGCAUGAGGCCAAAAACUAACUGACUAUGAAUCAAAAUAUAUUUUCAAGCACUAAUUCAAUCACACUAUCAUCUGCGAAAAAACAUCAAAGUUACUUUUUUGCUGGAUUUUUCUUGAUGUAAAUGUUGAUCUAAGUGUUACCUACUUUGCUAUCAUUGAACUAAAUGAAACCAUUUUUUUAUUAAUAACAAUACUAAGCAUAAGAGGCCAAAAUUAAUUAACACCUAUGUUACAAAGUCUAUUUCAAGUCUGAUGAUAGAUAAAGUAAACUCACCAAUGAACCAUAAAAACAAUUGCAGUUUCGUAAGCAUGGAAAAGGAGAACUGUAAAAUUGACUAUAUCAUUCACAAUGAUCUUCAAGCAAAUAUUGGUCUCUCACUAACCAAAAAAUAACAUAUAAUAAACUUGAGAUCCAAAAGAUAAAUCAAUACCUCUUUCCAAGUCCUCUUCCUCGAGGUAACACAAAGAUAAUGAUAGCAAUUACAUGAUAGCUAAGCAAAGAUAAUGAUCAAGUCCCCAAGGAAAAAUAUGAUAAAGAUAAACUUUCUCAUUUAAGUCCAAUGAUUAAGAAAGAUGAAGACACAUAUGUAGCGAAAUUUAGUGCAGGGGCAAANNNNNNNNNNNNNNNNNNNNGUGUUCAAAAUACAUCACCUUUUGCGGGUAGUCGAUCACCACAAUCUGAUCACCGUCGGGGGGCUCUAAUCAUCACGUCGCAGCCACACAAAUAUCUGACCUCUGUGGAUCGUCCACACGAAGCUCUCGUCUGAUCAGCUCCUCACAAAUGCUAGUUCGUGAUUUCAUCCUUUUGAUGGCAGAUGUUGAUCGAACUCCUUCGAUUAAUGUGUGCCGACUCCUCGGAUGCUCCAGAUCAUUUGCACAAUUGCUUGAGAGGCUGAUGGAUCUCUCUCUAAAAUUUGGUGGACUCACGACACUCGUGGCACACCAAUCUCACUUCCCAAACCCUAGGUAGAAACCCUAGGGUACACACUAGAAACCCUGCGCUCAAUUUUCUUUCUUUUCUUUCUUUUUCUCUCGGAAGGUUUUGGACCUUCACCUUGCGCACAAACUUUCCUCACGCCCCAAAGUUUCUCUCCUAAAAUUUUUACGCAUGUCUCACCUUUUUCCUCUUUUUAAAACAACAUCGAACGUGUCUUAUCCGCGUGAGAGGAUAAAGAUAAGUGGUUGCACAUUUGAAUUCAAAUCAAAUUUGAAUUCAAAUGCAAAACCAACUCAUCCCUAUCCUCUUGUGCGUGAGAAGAGAAGGGCGUGAGUUGAUUUGUGCAUGGAGAGUUUACACGAGAAAUAUUUUCUCGUGUA
rnacentral:lncRNA from 1 species